CAGAAACAAUUGAUCUUGAUGGAACAAUCUUGUUUUUAUAUAAAAUUUCAAGCUGGUGAUGACAUGUGUAAAAGGAAAAGUGCUGCAAGCAGUAAAUGCUGUUCAGUUUGCAGUCCAUUACAUCAACAUAUCUAAAUGAUCCUCUUUAGCCCAGUACUUCAAUAGGAUGUUGGAAAAGAAGACUUCCACUCUAAUAGGAUGAAAAAAUGAUCAUUUAUUUACAUCAUUCUGAUUUCUUUUAAUUGCUUCACAAUCCACUAUAAAGAAGAUUCGCUCUGACCCUAAAUUUUCUACUUUUUUUCCCACUUUUCUCUCACAUAAAUUAGGUGUUUCAUUCUUUUUCCUCCUUAUUAUUUUAUUUACACCAUUCUGUGUUGAGCACAGAAAGGUGGAAGUAUAUAGCCCUGUUCUCUGUUUUUAAUGCUCUGUAUAUUUUUGUUUCCUUUUCUGUGGAAUCAGUUUUUCAUUAUCCUUAUAGAAUCAGUUUUUCAUUAUCCUUAUAAGGAGAUGCCAUUUUUCUCAAUCUUUCCUUAAAAUCUAACUAACUUCUUUACUAAGUCAUUUCUGUUCCUUAUAGAAUAGUGAAUGUGACUGUUCUUAGUGUAUUGACUGGUCCCUUUACAUCAGCAUUGUAACUUUUAGGUAUUAGUUUACUUUCAUAUGAUUGUUAUUUCAUAUAUCAUUGUGAACAUAUUUUUUUCCAAAAAUAAAAUACAUAUUGACCUAAAAGAAAUUGCAUCUAAAAGAAAA
rnacentral:lncRNA from 1 species